CGGCGGACGGGUGAGUAACACGUGGGUAACCUACCUAUAAGACUGGAAUAACUCCGGGAAACCGGGGCUAAUGCCGGAUAACAUGUUGAACCGCAUGGUUCUACAGUGAAAGGCGGCUUUGCUGUCACUUAUAGAUGGACCCGCGCCGUAUUAGCUAGUUGGUGAGGUAACGGCUCACCAAGGCAACGAUACGUAGCCGACCUGAGAGGGUGAUCGGCCACACUGGAACUGAGACACGGUCCAG
rnacentral:rRNA from 1 species